rnacentral:rRNA from 1 species
UACAGAGGUGGCAAGCGUUGUUCGGAAUUACUGGGCGUAAAGGGCGCGUAGGCGGCCUUCUAAGUCAGACGUGAAAUCCCCCGGCUUAACCUGGGAACUGCGUCUGGUACUGGGAGGCUAGAGUAUGGGAGAGGGAUGUAGAAUUCCAGGUGUAGCGGUGAAAUGCGUAGAUAUCUGGAGGAACACCAAUGGCGAAGGCAGCUCGCUGGAACGGUACUGACGCUGAGGCGCGAAAGCGUGGGGAGCGAACAGG